GACGAACGCUGGCAGCGUGCUUAACACAUGCAAGUCGAACGGUAAGGCCCUUCGGGGUACACGAGUGGCGAACGGGUGAGUAACACGUGGGUGAUCUGCCCUGCACUUCGGGAUAAGCCUGGGAAACUGGGUCUAAUACCGGAUAGGACUCCGGACUGCAUGGUCUGGGGUGGAAAGCUUUUGCGGUGUGGGAUGGGCCCGCGGCCUAUCAGCUUGUUGGUGGGGUGAUGGCCUACCAAGGCGACGACGGGUAGCCGGCCUGAGAGGGUGACCGGCCACACUGGGACUGAGAUACGGCCCAGACUCCUACGGGAGGCAGCAGUGGGGAAUAUUGCACAAUGGGCGCAAGCCUGAUGCAGCGACGCCGCGUGAGGGAUGACGGCCUCCGGGUUGUAAACCUCUUUCAGCACAGACGAAGCGCAAGUGACGGUAUGUGCAGAAGAAGGACCGGCCAACUACGUGCCAGCCGCCGCGGUAA
rnacentral:rRNA from 1 species